UUGGACGGCCAGAGGGGCGUGGUUCACUCGUUCCCAUUUCGAACACGAAAGUUAAGAACGUCUCCGUAUCGGUCUGUACUGCAUUGCGCGGGAAAUCCGGUAAGCUGUCCAUC
rnacentral:rRNA from 1 species